rnacentral:lncRNA from 12 species
UGUAGAUGUAAAUAUCUUACAAUUUUAUUGAUUAAACCUUAAUACAGUUAAAAAAAAAAGCCACCUUGAUUUUUUUGGUUAGAAAAGAAUUUUUACCUCCUAAUAUGCUACUAGCAAUCUAAAUGGUUAAAUGCCCUUUAUAUGGAUGGGAACACUAAAGUACCCAUAGAAAAACUGAUUGAGUUAAGAUCAAGUAACAAGUAAGUGGUUUUGUGAUAUAAAAAUCCCCUCCCUAUUUUUUUUUUAAUUAUUUAUUUGCCAGAGAGAGACAGAGCACAAGCGGGGGAAGCAGCAGAGGGAGAGGGAGAAACAGUCUCCCUGCUGAGCAGAGAGCCCGACUAGGGGCUUGAUCCCAGGAUCCUGGGAUCGUGACCUAAGGCCAAGGCAGUUGCUUCACCGACUGAGCCACCCAGGUGCCUCCCAAAAUCCCCUCUCUUAAUUCAUAGUCUCAUUAUUUUCACUAGGGGAAAAAAAACCUGCCUCAAUAAAUAUCAUUAGCUUGCUUAGAUUAAAAUCCAGAUAGACCCAUUUUGGGGGAUGUUGUCCUUUACAUCUCCAUCAGAAUGCUUUCCAGCAAAAAGCAGAGGUUGAUUUUAAUUUUCACAUUAAUAGCAUGUGAAUUUAGAAAGAUGGGGCUGGAUUGCUUUAUGAAGAUGAUUUCUUGGUAGCCAGAGCAUAGAGCUAGGAGGGUCCAAGGCUAUUUUCACACUUCGUGUGAGUAGCCCCUGCUGGCUUUAAACUCCAGGUGGACUUUUUUCUUUUUCCAAAUCUGUGAUUGACUAACACCAGACUGACAGCCCCCGUAAAGACCUUGAGGUCUUAAUAAUGCCUUCCCAGUGUUUGCAUUCUCCUCAUGCCUGCCACUCUCAUUUUGCACUGAGAUAUUUUAAUGAGUUUCUGAAUGAUUGUUUUCCACUUUUCCUAAUAUCCCUGCUCAGGUCACCAAAUUAGAGGAAAGCAUUUUAGCAAAUGGGAACGGAAACAAAAAGUAUCAUUAGCGAGAGGACUCCUGAAGUCACAGCUAUUAGGAAUGUGAAAUGUCUCUUGACUAGAAGUGUGGAAAAGACACUGCCAGAUGGAAGGGUUAAUUACAAGAUGCUGGCUUCAAAUGAAGACAGGCCAACUCACAAGAUCCAUUUGUCAACAGCGGAGUUGAAACCUUUGAUGAACAUUUCAAGGAAGUUAAUCUAGCUUUCUAAAUGAAAACUUUCAACUUUUCUGAGCAUCAAACACCAAUCUGAAAAAAGAUGGAUGUGACUUUUGCCCAGGAUGCAGUAACAGACACUGACAAGUGAAGAUCCUUGGAAAGAGGUAAUUAGAAAAUGUAGAAAUUAGGCCAAUAUUGGGAAGGAGUAACCUUGGAUGCCAUACUAGAAAAAUUAAGGUAUUUGAGACAAGUCUUACAUUAAUUAUAGCAGAUAAUCUAUAUCUUCACAGCAGAAUAACAGGUCAGUGAGUUCAUUACCGGGACUCUUGGUUCCGGACUAAAAUCUUAAUUUCAACCUUUUACUUGGUAGCAUUUUAAAAAAUGAUUUGUUAUUUAUUUGAGAG